rfam:Thelazia callipaeda genome assembly, scaffold: TCLT_scaffold0000195
GAGAUCAUACUUCACAGAAUCAUUUCUGUAGUGUGUAUUUCGUCGCUUUUAGAGAAAGUGCAUCGGAGUGCAACCGCGAUGAUGUGGCAUGGCGUCGCUUCCAGAGCGUGAAACAACGUCCAACUCUUAGGCUAGGAGAGAUGGACGUUUGAUGACCGCGACGGGGAUCUGCUUGCAGGUGUCCCUGGUGGGGGUGACGUGUGCUGAGCGGU